CUGGUAUUAAAUAUUGCUGCAGGUAUAAAACAUGUCAGCUACUCCAUUAGCUCUCCGCACGUAUUGUACACAGGGUUAAAGCUACAAAAUACUGAUAGACUCCUUAUUACGCACAGUGUACACAGGGUUAAAGCUACAAAAUACUGAUAGACUCCUUAUUACGCACAGUGUACACAGGGUUAAAGCAGCAGCAUACUGAUAGAUUCCUUAUUACACACAGUGUAC